UAGUCUUUAGCUGUUUUGUCAUCUCCAAGCUGUUUACCUGCAUAAAUGAGCCUGCAAAAAGCAGAGUAUGAUAGAACUUGUUAUAAUAAGCACACGGCAAUAUCAAAUUUUAAGUCUCAUAAAACUAAAAGAAAUGACAGAUCCCGUUGAUCCGAUAUGAGUUCAUAGAUGGCUGACCACAGGGACUAGAAAAAAGAAUUUUGAUGAAAUUCAGAAUUGUUGACUCACUAAUUGCCAUAAGGAGAGUAAGAUAUAUUUAACACCACUCCAGAAAAUAAUAACAUAAUGGAUGUUAAAGGAAAGACCAUGGAAAGCCAACUAGAGAAAACUUACAGUUACAAAUCAUGGACACUUCAACUUAAGUAACGUGGCUGUCUAAGUCUAUCAAACUAUCAAUUGUCAGGUACUCAAGCAUUACUGUAUUAGACCAUGGGAAAACAUUUAUUUACAUUUUAAAUUCAGAUACUUGAACUUGAAACAUGGAGUUAAUUUUCCAAGUAUGUGAAACUAACAAUACUAUUUUACAUGAAAUUCUGUUUCAAAUUCCUAUUCUUAGUUAUUUUGAAACAACUAGAAAAUAUACUCAUUGCAUUUAGGUUUCUUUUAUAAACCUUCACUAUAAGACAUUACCUAGCUAAGUAUUGUAAAUCUUAGAUCUUCCUUCAUAUUUUAUUAUAAAUGUACUUCAUACCUUACCAAAAUGUUGGAAUCUAAAAUUGACCCAACUUCAUUGUUUACUUACCAAAAUGUACUAAUGAAUCCUGUGCUAAGUAAAAAAUUUCCACACCAAAUUCCAUUCUUAAACAGAGAAAGCACAGUGACACAUUUGAGGGGAGAUUAAACAAGCUAUCCACAUAUACAAAAGGCCAUUGAAAAUAUAGUUAUUGUAGUUUAAGUAAUUAAAGGAGGCAAAUGCAAACCUCUGCUGUACAGGGGGAAUCCCCUCUUUCUCCUCAACCCGCUCCUUAAUACGAUCAAUUGUGUCAGUUGGCUCAAUGUCAAUCUCAAUUUCCUUCCCGGUCAGUGUCUUGACCUUAAUCAUAGUACCUCCCCUAAGCCUCAAAACCAA
rnacentral:lncRNA from 1 species